GCUUCUCGUGACGCCACGGAGGCUUGCCCUUUCAAGCGAGUGGGAAGGGGGAGUAACACGUGGAUAACCUGCCUCAAGGCUGGGGAUAACAUUUGGAAACAGAUGCUAAUACCGAAUAAAACUUAGUAUCGCAUGAUAUCAAGUUAAAAGGCGCUACGGCGUCACCUAGAGAUGGAUCCGCGGUGCAUUAGUUAGUUGGUGGGGUAAAGGCUUACCAAGACAAUGAUGCAUAGCCGAGUUGAGAGACUGAUCGGCCACAUUGGGACUGAGACACGGCCCAAACUCCUACGGGAGGCUGCAGUAGGGAAUCUUCCACAAUGGGCGCAAGCCUGAUGGAGCAACGCCGCGUGUGUGAUGAAGGCUUUCGGGUCGUAAAGCACUGUUGUAUGGGAAGAAAUGCUAAAAUAGGGAAUGAUUUUAGUUUGACGGUACCAUACCAGAAAGGGACGGCUAAAUACGUGCCAGCAGCCGCGGUAAUACGUAUGUCCCGAGCGUUAUCCGGAUUUAUUGGGCGUAAAGCGAGCGCAGACGGUUGAUUAAGUCUGAUGUGAAAGCCCGGAGCUCAACUCCGGAAUGGCAUUGGAAACUGGUUAACUUGAGUGUUGUAGAGGUAAGUGGAACUCCAUGUGUAGCGGUGGAAUGCGUAGAUAUAUGGAAGAACACCAGUGGCGAAGGCGGCUUACUGGACAACAACUGACGUUGAGGCUCGAAAGUGUGGGUAGCAAACAGGAUUAGAUACCCUGGUAGUCCACACCGUAAACGAUGAAUACUAGGUGUUAGGAGGUUUCCGCCUCUUAGUGCCGAAGCUAACGCAUUUAAGUAUUCCGCUGGGAAGUACGACCGCAGUGAAACUCAAAUUAUUGACGGACCGCACAGCGUGGA
rnacentral:rRNA from 1 species